rnacentral:piRNA from 1 species
UUCAGACAUGGGCUGCGCC